rnacentral:lncRNA from 1 species
CGUACGUGUCAUCUCUAUCCAUCACUUGCCAUCGGCCUCUACACCACUGGAAGACGCACAGCAACAGAGAUCGAUCAUCGAUGGUGCUUGCAAGCUUCGUCGUCAGUUUGAGUGUUUGACCAUCUGCUGAUGUGCUAUGCUACCUUGGGUCUCUGCAGCAGGUAUAGCAGGUGACCGCGUGGUUCGAGGAUCAGCGAACGCCGUGGACGAAAGGGCUCAUCAGAAUCUGUGGCGUUGGAUUCUGCGGUUCUGCU